rnacentral:rRNA from 1 species
CGCGCUACCAUGCAAGUCGAGCGCACUCUUCGGAGUGAGCGGCGGACGGGUUAGUAACGCGUGGGAACGUGCCCUUCUCUAAGGAAUAGCCACUGGAAACGGUGAGUAAUACCUUAUACGCCCUUCGGGGGAAAGAUUUAUCGGAGAAGGAUCGGCCCGCGUUAGAUUAGAUAGUUGGUGGGGUAAUGGCCUACCAAGUCUACGAUCUAUAGCUGGUUUUAGAGGAUGAUCAGCAACACUGGGACUGAGACACGGCCCAGACUCCUACGGGAGGCAGCAGUGGGGAAUCUUGGACAAUGGGCGCAAGCCUGAUCCAGCCAUGCCGCGUGAGUGAUGAAGGCCUUAGGGUCGUAAAGCUCUUUCGCCAGAGAUGAUAAUGACAGUAUCUGGUAAAGAAACCCCGGCUAACUCCGUGCCAGCAGCCGCGGUAAUACGGAGGGGGUUAGCGUUGUUCGGAAUUACUGGGCGUAAAGCGCACGUAGGCGGAUCAGAAAGUAUAGGGUGAAAUCCCAGGGCUCAACCCUGGAACUGCCUUGUAAACUCCUGGUCUUGAGUUCGAGAGAGGUGAGUGGAAUUCCGAGUGUAGAGGUGAAAUUCGUAGAUAUUCGGAGGAACACCAGUGGCGAAGGCGGCUCACUGGCUCGAUACUGACGCUGAGGUGCGAAAGUGUGGGGAGCAAACAGGAUUAGAUACCCUGGUAGUCCA